rnacentral:rRNA from 1 species
UACAGAGGGUGCGAGCGUUAAUCGGAAUUACUGGGCGUAAAGCGCACGUAGUCGGCUUUGCAAGUCGGUUGUGAAAUCCCCGGGCUCAACCUGGGAACUGCAUCCGAGACUGCAUUGCUAGAGUAUGGGAGAGGGAAGCGGAAUUUCUGGUGUAGCAGUGAAAUGCGUAGAUAUCAGAAGGAAUACCGGUGGCGAAAGCGACUCUCUGGACGGCAACUGACGCUGAGGCACGAAAGCGUGGGGAGCAAACAGG